rnacentral:piRNA from 1 species
CCUUUGUGAGACACUUGCUAAACCGGGCAG